GCGCCUGUAGCUCAACGGAUAGAGCAAUUCACUUCUAAUGAAUAGGUUGUGGGUUCGAUUCCCGCCAGGCGUGCAA
rnacentral:tRNA from 1 species